rnacentral:rRNA from 1 species
ACUGAUGUAUUCAAUGAGUCUAUAGCCUAGGUUGACAGGCCCGAGUAAUCUUUGAAAUUUCAUUGUGAUGGGGAUAGAUCAUUGUAAUUAUUGGUCUUCAAUGAGGAAUUCUUAGUAAGUGCAAGUCAUGAGCUCACAUUGAGUAUGUCCCAGCCCUUUGUACACAUUGCUCACUAUUCUUACUAAUUGAAUGGUCUAGUGAAGUGUUCGGAUCAUGGUGACAGGAUGAUUCACUGCUUGUGACAUUGUGAGAAGUUCACUAAACCUUAUCAUUUAGAGGAAGGAGAAGUUGUAAUAAGGUUUUUAUAGGUGAACUUGUGGAAGGAUCAUUUUCGAAACCCGCUCAACGAAUGACUUACAAAUGCAUUAACAGAAUACCGAGGGGGUAAGGGUGCUUUUGUACCUCGAGCCCCUUCUACCACGGGCGUAUGUGAUAGUCAUUUUAUUCCAUCUCUCAAGUAGGCAAAAUGAUCAGUAUCAUCAACCACAGUUGAAUAACCCUUGGUGCGAAUUAUGCCAAGGAAAUAGAAUGAAAAAAAGCACAUGUGCCAUCCCUAUCCCGUUCAUAAUUAUGCACGAGCAACAUGUGUGCAAGUCAACAAGCUAGAAAACCUAUAAGGCACAAAAAAGUUGAUUGGUAGGAUCCCUCACUAGUGCACCACUGAUUGACCUUGAUUGUUUGAGAGUGGUUCUAGUGUGAGCACGCUUGUCAGGACUUGAAAAAUGGUGAACUACACCUGAGUAGGGCGAAGCCAAAGGAAACUCUGAUGGAGGCCCAUAACAAUACUGAUGUGCAAAUUAUUUGUUUUACUUGGGUAUAGGGGUGGGAGACUAAUCAAAACAUCUAGUAGCUAGUUCUUUUCGAUGUUUCCCUUAGGAUAGUUGGAUCCCUUAGUGAGUUCUAUCAGGUAAAGCCAAUGAUUAGAGGCAUUAAGGGUGCAAUGCCUUUGACCUAUAUUCAAACAUUAAAUAGGUAGGAUGGUGCAGUUGCUUCGUUGAGCCACAUCAGGGAAUCUAAAGUUCUAGUGGGCCAUUUUUGGUAAGCAAAACUAGCGAUAUGGGAUGAAUCAGAAGUCAGGUUACAGUGCCCAAUUACACAUUAACCUAGAACCCACAAAAGGUGUUGGUCGAUUAAGAUAGCAAGAUGAAAGUCAUGGAAGUCAAAAUCCACUAAGGAGAGUGUAACAACUCACCUACCAAUUCAACUAGCUCAAAAAUGGAUGGCACUUAAGUGCACAACCUAUACUUGGCAUCGGGGCAAGGACCAGGCCUUGAUAAGUAAAAGAGCAUGACAAUCACUACAAAAUGGGUGGAAUGGCUAUUAGUGUAGAUCUUGGUGGUAGUAGUAAAUAUUCAAAUAAGAACUUUGAAGGUCGAAAAGGGGAAAGGUUCCAUGUGAAUGGCACUUGCACAUGGGUUAGUCGAUCUUAUGAGAUGGGGAAAGCCCAUUCGACAGUGAGUCCAGAGUGGGCUUAAAAAAAAAAUUAGGUUAAAAUUUUUAAAUCGGGACACAAUGGCUGAUGGCAACUUAAAGAGUCUAGAGAUGUUAAUGGGGGUGUUAAGAAGAGAUAUAAUUUCUGUUUAACAGCCUACCCAUCCUGGCAAUGGUUCAACCAGAGGUAAGGUCUAAUGACUAAAAGAGCACUACACAUUGCAUGGUGUUCAGUGCACUAUUGACAGCUUUUGAAAAUCUUGGUUGUACUUAUAGUCGCAUUUGGUCUCCAAGGUGAACAACUUCUGGUCGAUGGAACAAUGUAGGCAAAGAAGGUCGAUAAAAUAGAUCAGUAACCUCAAGAAAAAGAUUGGCUCUGAGGGCUGGGCAUCAGGGUCCUUGUCUCAAACCCAUCGACUAUUGGUGUAUUGCUUGAGCUACUCCCAUGAUGAGAACAAGUCACCGCGUGUUGGUUAGGAGAUGGACUGGGAAUGGCUCUCUUAAGGGCCUUUUGUCGAAUGAUGAACAGUCGACUUAGAAUUGAUAAAGAUAAGGGGAAUCUGACUAUUUAAUUAAAACAAAGCAUUGCGAUGGUCCAUGUGGAUGCCCACGUAAUGUGAUUUCUGCCUAGUGCUCUUAAUGUCAAAGUGAAGAAAUUCAACGAAGUGUAAGUAAAUGGCGAGAGUAACUAUGACUCUUUUAAGGUAGCCAAAUGCCUCGUCAUCUAAUUAAUGACUCGCAUGAAUAGAUUAAUGAGAUUUCCACUGUCCCUAUCUACUAUCCAGUGAAACCAUAGCCAAAGGAAGAGGCUUGGUAGAAUCAACAAGGAAAGAAGACCCUAUUGAGCUUAACUAUAAAUGACUUGAGAGGUGUAAGAUAAGUGGGACCUUCCACCGAAAUUGAAAUACCACUAUAUUUAAUGUGAUUUUACUUUUUUUAUGAAUUGGAGGUAGGGCACGGCCCCUUCUUUUGGACCUAAGGCUAGCCUCAGUUGGUUGAUCUGAGCGAAAAAAAUGUUAAGUGGGGAGUUUGGUUAGGGUGGCACAUCUGUUAAAAGAUAACAUAAGUGUCCUAAGAUGAGUUCAACGAGAAUAAAAUCUCAUACGGAACAAAAGGGUAAAAGCAUGUUUGGUUCUAAUUGUCGAUUCGAAUAUGAACCAUGAAAGCAUGGCCUAUUGAUCUUUUAGACCUAUAGAAUUUGAAGCUAGAGGUGUUAAAAAAGUUACCACGGGAAUAACUAGCUAGUGGUAGCCAAGAUUUCAUAGCAACGUUGCUUUUUGAUCCUUUAAUGUUGGCUUUUCCUAUAAUUGUGAAACAGAAUUCACUAAAUGUUGGAUUGUUCACCCAUCAAUAGGGAAUGUGAGUUUGGUUUAGACCAUUAUGAGACAAGUUAGUUUUACUCCACUGAUGGUAGCAUCACAAUAGUAAUUUGAUGUAGUGCAAGAUGAACUACUGAUUCACACAAUUGGUCAUUGCACUUAGUUGGAAAGCUAAUGGUGGGAAGCUACCAUGCGUUGGAAUAUGACUAAAUGCCUCUAAGUCAGAAUCUAGGCUAGAAACGAUGCAUGCAACCAUUGCUUGAUUGUCAACUUGUAAUAGGGGCCUAUAGCCCCCAAGGGCACAUGUUGUAGGUGUAGCCCUUAUAGUGGACAAGCUACACGAGCCUUCUUAGAGCUCAAUUCCCAUCGAAUGGUGGGUAAAAU